GAGGCGGUAUCGGCACACGUUCGAACUGCACUCCCCAGCAGCUGUAGGUUAAUGUGAUGAAGCCUGCGUUGGAUUCUGCUCUGAGCCGAAGAGGACCGAGACAGAAGG
rfam:Paenibacillus macerans strain 8244 genomic scaffold scaffold1, whole genome shotgun sequence.